rnacentral:lncRNA from 1 species
UGUGUGUGUGUGUGAGUGUGUGUGUGUGUGUGUGUGUGUGUGUGAAGGAAAAUAGAACAGAACUGAGAUAUCUGGUACGUUGAAAGGCAGGCAUUCUAGAAUCAAAUGUACAAUGCAGGCAAAAGUACUUUUUUUUAAUUAAAUUUAUUUUUAAUAAUGUGUAAAUAUACAUGCCUGUUUCAGGGUUCAUAUACCCGAGUGGAGAUGGACAAAGCAGCCAAAAGAGGGUAUCAGAUCCUCAGGAUCUGGCGUUACAGUUGGUUAAGAGCCCUCUAAUGUUGGGGCUGGGAAUUAGACUUGGACCCUCUAGGAGAGUAGCCUGUGUGCUUGACCUCUCUCAGCCCUCCAACGCCAGCCAGAAGUACUUUAAGUGAUCUGCUCAGGUUUAAAAGGAGCCUAUGAGCCAAACAGAAAUAAGACAAAAUUUAUGUCAUUCUCAAAUUUAAAAUCAUAGACGUUUUCAAAGAAAUCACUAUUUCUAAAGACAAAAUGGUCAUCCCUUUCAGCUUCUUCUGCUGCUUCAUUUCCCGUCUCUGCUUCUCCUCAUUUUCCUCCACAUUUCAUGCUUAGAAAAAAGAACGACAAAAAAUCCACAUGUUGUAAAUACUUAUUUGUAUGGAUGGACACAUUAGAGAAUUAACCAACUGUGCAAAUUUAAUCUGUCCCUUACAUAAAAAUAUUUCAAAACCUACUUAUUUCACAGUUGGAAAAUACUUCAACUAUAAUUUCAAUGAUAUGUUUUAAGGGAAACUUGGCUAGUUUUUAUGGCAUUUAAACAUUUGACUUUCUUCCAGUGAUGUAUUGGCAAGGGAAGGGAGACGUUAAUAUCGACAUAAAAAGUUAGCUAUCCUCUGUAGCAAAAUUAAGUCUACAUGUAUACCAAUAAUUUAAAAUGUGAGAGCCAGAACAGUCGCUCGUGACGACCAUAGAGGAUAGAUAUGGAUUUUUCCUACUAUUACAAGAUUUUUUUACAACAACAUACCUUGUACAAACGUAGGCAAGUAAUUCACAAAAAAAGAUAUUCAAUUAAAAUAAACACAUGAUGCCAUUGCUUAUGUAUCAGUUUGGCUAAAUGUGAAUACAUUGAUUAUGUUUAGUUUUGAAAUUCAAUUCACUGAGUAAUUUAAUUUUAAAAAUUGAUUACAUUUAAUUUUAAUGUGGUAUUGGUUAACUAUAUAUUUUUGUUGUUUUUAAAAAACAGUUACCUACAUUUGACAUGCAUCUCCUGAAAACAUCAAUCUCAUUU